ACAGAGAGAAGCGAUACCGCGAGGAGGAGCAAAUCUGAAAAAAGCGUCCCUAGUUCGGAUUGUAGGCUGAAACUCGCCUACAUGAAGCUGGAAUUGCUAGUAAUCGCGAAUCAGCAUGUCGCGGUGAAUACGUUCCCGGGUCUUGUACACACCGCCCGUCACACCAUGGGAGUUGGUAACGCCCGAAGCCAGUGACCCAACCCGAGAGGGAGGGAGCUGUCGAAGGUGGGACCGAUAACUGGGGUGAAGUCGUAACAAGGUACC
rnacentral:rRNA from 1 species